UGGCGAACACAGAAUCCAUACU
rnacentral:miRNA from 1 species